CUAUUGUGUUGGCCUUCGGGAUCGGAGUAAUGAUUAAUAGGGAUAGUCGGAGGCAUUUGUAUUUCAUGGUCAGAGGUGAAAUUCUUAGAUUUAUGAAAGACGAACAACUACGAAAGCAUUUGCCAAGGAUGUUAAUUUUCAUUAAUCAAGAACGAAAGUUUGGGGGCUCGAAG
rnacentral:rRNA from 1 species